GAUGAACGCUAGCUACAGGCUUAACACAUGCAAGUCGAGGGGAAACGACAUCGAAAGCUUGCUUUUGAUGGGCGUCGACCGGCGCACGGGUGAGUAACGCGUAUCCAACCUGCCCACCACUUGGGGAUAACCUUGCGAAAGUAAGACUAAUACCCAAUGACGUCUCUAGAAGACAUCUGAAAGAGAUUAAAGAUUUAUCGGUGAUGGAUGGGGAUGCGUCUGAUUAGCUUGUUGGCGGGGUAACGGCCCACCAAGGCAACGAUCAGUAGGGGUUCUGAGAGGAAGGUCCCCCACAUUGGAACUGAGACACGGUCCAAAACUCCUACGGGAGGCAGCAGUGAGGAAUAUUGGUCAAUGGGCGAGAGCCUGAACCAGCCAAGUAGCGUGCAGGAUGACGGCCCUAUGGGUUGUAAACUGCUUUUAUAAGGGAAUAAAGUUAGUCUCGUGAGACUUUUUGCAUGUACCUUAUGAAUAAGGACCGGCUAAUUCCGUG
rnacentral:rRNA from 1 species